rnacentral:rRNA from 1 species
GAUGAACGCUGGCGGCGUGCCUAAUACAUGCAAGUCGAGCGAACGGACGAGAAGCUUGCUUUUCUGAUGUUAGCGGCGGACGGGUGAGUAACACGUGGAUAACCUACCUAUAAGACUGGGAUAACUUCGGGAAACCGGAGCUAAUACCGGAUAAUAUUUUGAACCGCAUGGUUCAAAAGUGAAAGACGGUCUUGCUGUCACUUAUAGAUGGAUCCGCGCUGCAUUAGCUAGUUGGUAAGGUAACGGCUUACCAAGGCAACGAUGCAUAGCCGACCUGAGAGGGUGAUCGGCCACACUGGAACUGAGACACGGGCCAGACACCUACGGGAGGCAGCAGUAGGGAAUCUUCCGCAAUGGGCGAAAGCCUGACGGAGCAACGCCGCGUGAGUGAUGAAGGUCUUCGGAUCGUAAAACUCUGUUAUUAGGGAAGAACAUAUGUGUAAGUAACUGUGCACAUCUGGACGGUACCUAAUCAGAAAGCCACGGCUAACUACGU